rnacentral:rRNA from 1 species
UACGUAGGGUGCGAGCGUUGUCCGGAAUUACUGGGCGUAAAGAGCUCGUAGGUGGUUUGUCGCGUUGUCCGUGAAAACUCACAACUCAAUUGUGGGCGUGCGGGCGAUACGGGCAGACUGGAGUACUGCAGGGGAGACUGGAAUUCCUGGUGUAGCGGUGAAAUGCGCAGAUAUCAGGAGGAACACCGGUGGCGAAGGCGGGUCUCUGGGCCGAUACUGACGCUGAGGAGCGAAAGCGUGGGGAGCGAACAGGA